rnacentral:rRNA from 1 species
AUACGUAGGGGGCGAGCGUUGUCCGGAAUUAUUGGGCGUAAAGGGUUCGUAGGCGGCAAUGUAUGUCAGGUGUGAAAGACGGUGGCUCAACCAACGCAAGCAUCUGAAACUGCAUAGCUUGAGAAAAGGAGAGGUAAGUGGAAUUCCUAGUGUAGCGGUGAAAUGCGUAGAUAUUAGGAGGAAUACCAGUGGCGAAGGCGACUUACUGGACUUUAACUGACGCUGAUGAACGAAAGCGUGGGGAGCAAACAGGAUUAGAUACCCUGGUAGUCCACGCCGUAAACGAUGAGUGCUAGGUGUCGGGAGUCAAAUCUCGGUGCCGAAGUUAACACAUUAAGCACUCCGCCUGGGGAGUACGUGCGCAAGCAUGAA